AAUGAACGUUGGCGGCGUGGAUUAGGCAUGCAAGUCGUACGCUUUAUGUAGCAAUACAUGAAGAGUGGCGUAAGGGAGAGUAAUGCAUGGUUAGCUACCCUGGGGACUGGGAUAGCGGCGGGAAACUGCCGGUAAUACCAGAUGAUAUCUUCGGAUCAAACGUGUAAAUCGGCCCUAGGAGGUGACCAUGUCCUAUCAGCUAGUUGGCGGUGUAACGGACCACCAAGGCUAAGACGGGUAUGGGGCGUGAGAGCGUGCCCCCACUCACUGGGACUGAGACACUGCCCAGACACCUACGGGUGGCUGCAGUCGAGAAUCUUCGGCAAUGGGCGCAAGCCUGACCGAGCGACGCCGCGUGCGGGAUGAAGGCCUUCGGGUUGUAAACCGCUGUCGUAGGGGAGGAAGGUCUGGUGUAUAGCCAGGCUUGACCGAUCCUAGGAGGAAGGGCCGGCUAAUCUCGUGCCAGCAGCCGCCGUAAGAC
rnacentral:rRNA from 1 species